UCAUAGAUUAGUUGACCAUAGGUACGUGGAUUUAUCUCUGGGCUUUCUAUCCUGUUCCAUUCAUCUAUAUUUCUGUUUUUGUGCAAGUACCAUAUUGUCUUGAUUACUGUAGCUUUGUAGUAUAGUCUGAAGUCAGGGAGUCUGAUUCCUCCCGCUCAGUAUUUUUUUCCCUCAAGAUUGCUUUGGCUAUUCAGGGUCUUUUUUGUCUCCCUACAAAUUUUAAGACUUUUUGUUCUAGUUCUGUAAAAAUGCCAUUGGUAAUUUGAUAGGGAUUGCAUUGAAUCUGUAGAUUGCUUUGGGUAAUAUAGUCAUUUUCACAAUAUUGAUUCUUCCAAUCCAAGAACAUGGUAUAUCUCUCCAUCUGUUGGUAUCAUCUUUAAUUUCUUUCAUCAGUGUCUUAUAGUUUUCUGCAUACAGGUCUUUUUUCUCCCUAGGCAGGUUUAUUCCUAGGUAUUUUAUUCUUUUUGUUGCAAUGGUAAAUGGGAGUGUUUCCUUGAUUUCUCUUUCAGAUUUUUCAUCAUUAGUGUAUAGGAAUGCAAGAGAUUUCUGUGAAUUAAUUUUGUAUCCUGCAACUCUACCAAAUUCACUGAUUAGCUCUAGUAGUCUUCUGGUGGCAUCUUUAGGAUUCUCUAUGUAUAGUAUCAUGUCAUCUGCAAACAGUGACAGUUUUACUUCUUCUUUUCCAAUAUGUAUUCCUUUUAUUUCUUUUUCUUCUCUGAUUGCCGUGGCUAGGACUUCCAAAACUAUGUUGAAUAAUAGUGGUGAGAGUGGACAUCCUUGUCUUGUUCCUGAUCUUAGAGGAAAUGCUUUCAGUUUUUCACCAUUGAGAAUGAUGUUUGCUGUGGGUUUGUCAUAUAUGGCCUUUAAUAUGUUGAGGUAGGUUUCCUCUAUGCCCAUUUUCUGGAGAGUUUUUAUCAUAAAUGGGUGUUGAAUUUUGUCAAAAGCUUUUUCUGCAUCUAUUGAGAUGAUCAUAUGGUUUUUAUUCUUCAAUUUGUUAAUACAGUGUAUCACAUUGAUUGAUUUGCAUAUGUUGAAGAAUCCUUGCAUCCCUGGCAUAAAUCCCACUUGAUCAUGGUGUAUGGUCCUUUCACUGCAUUGUUGGAUUCUUUUUGCUAGUAUUUUGUUGAGGAUUUUUGCAUCUAUAUUCAUCAGUGAUAUUGGUCUGUAGCUUUCUUUUUUUGUAAUAUCUUUGUCUGGUUUUGUUAUCAGGAUGAUGGUGGCCUCCUCGAAUGAGUUUGGGAGUGUUCCUUCCUCUACAAUUUUUUGGAAGAGUUUGAGAAGGAUGGGUGUUAGCUCUUCUCUAAAUGUUUGAUAGAAUUCACCUGUGAAGCCAUCUGGUUCUGGACUGUUGUUUGUUGGAAGAUUUUUAAUCACAGUUUCAAUUUCAUUACUUGUGAUUGGUCUGUUCAUAUUUUCUAUUUCUUCCUUGUUCAGUCUUGGAUUGUUAUACUUUUCUAAGAAUUUGUCCAUUUCUUCCAGGUUGUCCAUUUUAUUGGCAUAGAGUUGUUUGUAGUAGUCUCUUAGGAUGCUUUAUAUUUCUUUGGAGUCUGUCGUAACUUCUCCUUUUUCCUUUCUAAUUUUAUUGAUUUGAGUCCUCUCCCUCUUUUUCUUGAUGAGUCUGGCUAAGGUUUUAUCAAUUUUGUUUAUCUUCUUAAAGAACCAGCUUUUAGUUUUAUUGAUCUUUGCUCUGAUCUUUAUGAUUUCUUUCCUUCUACUAACUUUGGGUUUUGUUUGUUCUUCUUUCUCUAGUUCAUUUAGGUGUAAGGUUAGUUUGUUUAUUUGAGAUUUUUCUUGUUUCUUGAGGUAGGCUUGUAUUGCUAUAAAAUUCCCUCUUAGAAAGUCUUUUGCUGCAUCCCGUAGGUUUUGGAUCAUCGUGUUUUCAUUGUAAUUUGUCUCUAGGUAUUUUUUGAUUUCCUCUUUGAUUUCUUCAUGAUCUCUUGGUUAUUUAGUAAUGUAUUGUAUAGCCUCCAUGUGUUUGUGUUUUUUUUACAUAUUUUCCCCUGUAAUUGAUUUCUAAUCUCAUAACGUUGUGGUCAGAAAUUUUGCUUGAUAUGAUUUCAAUUUUCUUAAAUUUACUGAGGCUUGAUUUAUGACCCAAGAUAUGAUCUACCCUGGAGAAUGUUCUGUGCACACUUGAGAAGAAAGUGUAAUCUUCUGUUUUUGGCUGGAAUGUACUAUAAAUAUCAAUUAAAUCUAUCUGGUCUAUUGUGUCAUUUAAAGCUUGUGUUUCCUUAUUAAUUUUCUGCCUGGAUGGUCUGUCCAUUGGUGUAAGUGAGGUUUUAAAGCCCCCAUUAUUAUUGGGUCACUGUUGAUUUCCUCUUUUAUAGCUGUUAGCAGUUGCCUUAUGUACUGAGGUGCUCCUAUGUUGGGUGCAUAUAUAUUUAUAAUUGUUAUAUCUUCUUCUUGGAUUGAUCCCUUGACCAUUAUGUAGUGGCCUUCCUUGUCUCUUGUAAUAUUCUUUAUUUUAAAGUCUAUUUUAUCUGAUAUGAGUAUUGCUACUCCAGCUUUCUUUUGAUUUCCAUUUGCAUGGAAUAUCUUUUUCCAUCCCCUCACUUUCAGUCUGUAUGUGUCCCUAGGUCUGAAGUGCGUCUCUUAUAGACAGCAUAUAGAUGGGUCUUGUUUUUGUAUCCGUUCAGCAAGCCUGUGUCUUUUGGUUGGAGCAUUUAAUGCAUUCACGUUUAAGGUAAUUAUCGAUAUGUAUAUUCCUACUACCAUUUUCUUAACUGUUUUGGGUUUGUUUUUGUAGGUCCUUUUCUUCUCUUGUGUUUCCCACUUAGAGAAGUUCCUUUAGCAUUUGUUGUAGAGCUGGUUUGGUGGUGCUGAAUUCUCUUAGCUUUUGCUUGUCUCUAAAGCUUUUGAUUUCUCCAUCGAAUCUGAAUGAGAUCCUUGCCGGGUAGAGUAAUCUUGGUUGUAGCUUCUUCCCUUUCAUCACUUUAAUAAUACCAUGCCACUCCCUUCUGGCUUGUAGAGUUUCUUCUGAGAAAUCAGCUGUUAACCUUAUGGGAAUUCCCUUGUAUGUUAUUUGUCGUUUUUCCCUUGUUGCUUUCAAUAAUUUUUUUUUGUCUUUAAUUUUUGUCAGUUUGAUUAUUACGUGUCUUGGCAUGUUUCUCCUUGGGUUUAUCCUGCCUGGGACUCUCUGUGCUUCCUGGACUUGGGUGGCUAUUUCCUUUCCCAUGUUAGGGAAGUUUUCAACUAUAAUCUCUUCAAAUAUUUUCUCAGGUCCAUUCUCUCUCUUUUCUCCUUCUGGGACCCCUAUAAUGUGAAUGUUGGUGCAUUUUAAUGUUGUCCCAGAGAUCUCUUAGGCUGUCUUCAUUUGUUUUCAUUCUUUUUUCUUUAUUAUGUUCCGCGGCAGUGAAUUCCACCAUUCUGUCUUCCAGAUCACUUCUCCCAUCUUCCUCGGUUUUGCUGCUAGUCAUCCUUCUAGUGUAUUUGUCAUUUCAGUUAUUGUAUUAUCCAUCUCUGUUUGUUUGUUCUUUAAUUCUUCUAGGUGUCUGUUCUUUAAUUCUUCUAGGUCUUUGCUAAACAUUUCUUGCAUCUUCUCGACCUUUGCCUCCAUUCUUUUUCCGAGGUCCUGGAUCAUCUUCACUAUCAUUGUUCUGAAUUCUUUUUCUGGAAGGUUUCCUGUCUCCACUUCAUUUAAUUGUUUUUCUGGGGUUUUAUCUUGUUCCUUCAUCUGGUACAUAGCCCUCUGACUUUUCGUCUUGUCUAUCUUUCUGUGAGUGUGGUUUUUGUUCCACAGGCUGCAGGAUUGUAGUUCUUCUUGCUUCUGCUGUCUGCUCUCUCCUGAGAAUUUAGAUGAUUACUUUUAUCCACCAGUUCAUUUUCAGACUUGCUCAGUUUGUAAUGCUCUUAAAACAUCCAGGUUCAGAUGUAGAGUCAGCAGCAUCAGAAACUCAGAUGAUAGAUCUUGACUGAUGUAGACGAAGAUGAAUCAAUAGUCAAUCUAAUGAUACCAAGGGACCACUGCUUAUCGAAAACCCAGUCUUCAAACUGAGAGCAGAGUUCUUCCCGUUACAUGUUAAAUCCUCUCUGAAAUCCUGCUAGUGUUGGAGGGUCUCCUGCAGAGGCGCGGGUGGCUGUGUCUCACUGUGAGGACAAGGACACUGGCAGCAGAAGUUCUGGAAAGUACUCUCGUUGGCAUGAGCCCUCCCAGAGUCUGCCUAAAUACAGUUGUGUUUUUUUUUUAAACAAAUCCUACAGCUUGGCUUGGGUUGUUAUUCUUUUAAAAUUUAUUUAUUUAUUUGUUUAUGGCUGUGUUGGGUCUUCGUUUCUGUGUGAGGGCUUUCUCUAGUUGUGGCAAGCGGGGGCCACUCUUCAUCGUGGUGUGCGGGCCUCUCACUAUCGCGGCCUCUCUUGUUGCAGAGCACAGGCUCCAGAUGCGCAGGCUCAGCAGUUGUGGCUCACUGGCCUAGUUGCUCCGUGGCAUGUGGGAUCCUCCCAGACCAGGGCUCGAACCCGUGUCCCCUGCAUUAGCAGGCAGAUUCUCAACCACUGCGCCACCAGGGAGGUCCCUAAAUAUAGUUUUAAAUGUACUGAUGUCGUAGUAUAUAUAGUGUUCUGAUUUUCAGUACUUUUCAAUAAUCAUUUUCUUCCUAUUUUUAUUUCCUCCUUGAUCUGAUCAUUACUUAAGAGAAUGCUUUUAAUUCUGAGGAGAUGGAGUUUUCUAUUGACUCUCAUUUUUCAUUUACAGUUUUAUUGUAAUGUGACCUGAAAAUUUGGACUUCACUGAGGAUUAAAUAAAAUUUUUUUUUUAACGUUUAACACAAAUUUAUUAAGGCUUAGGAAUAACAGAAGGGAAUUUCAAUUCACUAAAUAGAAACUAAAUGAAAAGUGCAAACCCACCUGGCCACACAACAAUCCCUCAUAGAUGUGGCUCUUCCCCAAGUCCAUGAGGUGAGUUUUUCCAGCCCCUGCCCACUGCCGGAACAGCCCACCUCCCCUCGGGAUAUUUGCAUCCUGAGCACAGGGCUCCAGGCUCCUCUGGGGCUGAGCCAGAGGAAGAAUCCAGCUCUGGGGACCCUUGAUGCCUCAGCCUUGUUCCAGAUUUUGGAAGGUUCAACGGUGGCCCUGAUGCACCCUCCCAGCUGCAGGCGUCCUCCCUGGAGGAUCUGCUGUGCUCACACGCCCCCCUCUCCAGCGAGGACGAUGC